ensembl:lncRNA
CUUUUUAAACUUUUAGUGUUGUUCUUAUUAUAAACUUUGGUUUUUGUUCUUCGGUUAAUGCUUGUUUGGGUGCUAACGUAAGUUAACAGCUGACGUUUGAUAACUUGAGUAUGGUGUUUUGCUGAGCCUCUGACCAUUUCAGUAAUGUGUUGGAGAGAAGUAAUGGAUUUUAUUUGGAGUGGACACUUUUACAUACACGAAACAAAACUAUAAAAUGAAUUCAAAGAUGUAUCCUCCCUAGUCAUGGAUCUUUGAUAGGACAUUAAGCAUAAUGUUAAAACCUUUUAAAAGAUACUUAGGCACGUUUUAGUUUAGAAAGUUGCUUUAUUAACUUAAUCUGUUAUUCAGGCUCUCUACUAAACUAGUAGAGCAUAGAGUCAAACAUAUUUUGUAUAUAUUUUGUGUUGGACUUUGGGCAGACCAGUUCAGGAAAUAAUUUGUGGUUUUGAUAAAAAGGUUUUGCUUUAGAUUAUUUUACAGAUUUAUGCUCUUCCAUAGGGAUGUUUCUCCUUGAAAUUGCUUUACUCAGACUGUAUACACACGUGUGUUUCAGCUUCAGAAUAAAUUGAUACCAACGUUUGAAAGAUUUGUUGAUGAUUUUAUUUAAUUGGCUGCUGUUGAGUCAAGGUGGAGAACUUGAUGAUUUUACUAAAUCAACAAUGAAGUGAGGAUGGACUUGUAUGUUACAAUAGAGCCUUUUGCUAGAGAUUAAUUGUUCAGUUCUAUUACUCCCAUAGUUGUACAAUAGUUAACCUAAUUCUCACUUCUCAGGAUUGACAUUGGAAUGGGAUGUGAGAUUUUAGAAGUGAACUAAACUUAGAAGUAGAGGUAGAAGUUCUUAGUGACAAAAGGGUAUUCAUUCAGUGGUUAUACCCAGAAUUUAAAAUGAGCCUGUGGAAAUACUCAGGUUGAAAAGCUAAAUGAAAUAUUUUGCUUAUUAACACUGAACUUUCAAAACUUUUGAAACUUUAAUAUUGCCAUCUUAAUGUCGGUCAGUUGUGGGAUGCUCUUUGGUAAAGUUUUGUCCUGCUUGUAAAAAAAGUAAAUCAUUUUUCGUUUGAAUGCUCUUAAACCGUAGUUAGUAACCACUUAAUCAUUCUGGAGGACUUCUCUCAUGGAUGCUAAGAAUCUUUUCAGAUUGUUUUUCUGGGCAGUGGAGAAAUGACUAAGGCUUAGGGCUGUGAUGUUUUCCUUUUUUAUUUUAGUGGAGUCAUGGUUCUGAUGGAGGCCUGUUCUUCCCCUGGUUGGUUGUGUAGAGGGCAUGGGUCCUCCCUGGGGUAGAUCUGUGUGCUGUGUAGUUGUUGCCCCGUUCACUGUAGUGUCUCUUCUAUGUGAGUCUCUUGUGAGUUCAGGCAUCUUUAGCUUAUCAAAUUACCAAGUUUUUUUGUUUUUUGUUUUUUGUCUUUUUGUGGUUUCUAGGGCCACACCCACGGCAUAUGGAGAUUCCUAGGCUAGGGGUCUAAUUGGAGCUGUAGCCCCUGGCCUAUACCACAACCACAGCAACGUGGCAUCUAAGCUGCUUCUGCAACCUUACACCACAGCUCACGGCAACGCGGGAUCCUGACCCACUGAGCAAAGCCAGGGAUCGAACCGCAAUCUCAUGGUUCCUAGUUGGAUUCGUUAACCACUGAGCCACAACAGGAACUCCUCAAAUUACCAAGUUUUUAAAGCACAGUUUCAAAACUAAUAACAUUGAUCAAAACAUAACUGCCUUAUUUGUAAGUGCAGUCAAAUUUAAAAUUGUAAACAAUUUGGAGGUUUUCAUGGGAUUAAUCACUUUUUAAAAAUCAGAUAAGUACACUUUGCUUUCAUACCAUUUUAGCCGAGUUCAUGUGUCACAGAUUUGUGUUGCUGAACAUGUAGAACUUCUUAUUCCUGAAAAAUCCCGUGGGUCAGGUGAAGCGCUAACCUGGAUGGAUACUGAGUGGUUGGUGGUAGGGAGACAAACUUGGACAUACUUAAAACAUUUUGAAAAAAUACAUCAAUUUCAGAGGAAACACCAGGCAUUUUUAUCUUCCAUGAGGAAUGUAUAUCAUAUUGGCUUUUAAAAGAAAAAUCUGCUUUAUUUUCUAAAGGCAAUUUUUUUUUUCAGUAGAGCUGCUUAAGUAGUACAACCUGCAGUUUCUACUUUUGGCUGGCUUACUAGUGUUACUGACAGUAGCCGCAGUAUUGAGCUAACUUAAAUGAGUUUAAUGUUUUGUGUUGGUACCUUAUAGGAGUGGAUUUUUUAAUAUUUUAAUGUGUAUUAUCAUUUGAGAUGGAAAUGGAUAAUUUGGGGAUACUUUUUAAAGUUAGCUUCCAAUUAAAAUGUGUAAAUUAAAUGAUAUAUUGAAUGUAUGCAUGUUUACUUUUAAUAAUUUUUUAAUGUUACCAGCAUGAAAGCGUGAUAGCUUGGUUCUUAUGAAAUUGUAAUUUCAUUAACUAUAAAUUAUGUUUUGAGUUAAAUAAUUGUCUUUCGGAGAUCCUUUCGUGGCACAGUGGUUAAUGAAUCCGACUAGGAACCAUGAGGUUUUGGGUUCGAUCCCUGGCCUCACUCAGUGGGUUAAGGAUCCGGCGAUGCUGUGGCUGUGGUGUAGGCCGGCGACUACAGCUCCAAUUAGACCCCUAGCCUGGGAACCUCCAUGUGCCAUGGGUGCAGCCUUAGAAAAGACAAGGAAACAAAGAAAUUGGCUUUCAAUUAAUGUAUCUUAAGUAUUAAUAUUUUGUAGAACUGCCUUCAAUCAGUAUUCAGUGUGUAGUUUUAAAUUUAAACACAUUAUUUUAUUAAAAUAGAGCAGUUGACACAUAGUAACCUCUCACAUCAUUGAUUAUUGAAAAUCAGUGGGGGAAUUGCUUCUCUUGAAGGCUCACUGGGUGUGUUCAGUAAUUUUAGUGCUUGGCAAAAUAUUUGAAUUUGAAGUUAUUGAACUUCAUAGUUUGUGUGAAAUUCAAUUGCUCAGUUAGAAUGUAUGAGCACAUCAAGUUAAAUCCUUAGUGUUUUAUGUUUUUUGAGCAGACUUUUUUAGGACAAAGGCAGAAUACAUUCAAUAACCAGGUCAAAAGUAUUUUAAGUGAAUUUUAAAAGUUGCUUUAUAUUGCCAUUUAAAUUAAAUUUCUUGGUAUCUCUGAAUUCUUUGGUUGUAUACAGAUGAAAUAAUCUCCUAACUCACGCACUGUGCGGGCAUUUGGUUAGGCUUUUCCCUUUCAUUUUGUCUUUUAUUUAGGAAAAAGUGCUGUCUUAACUAUUGUAAUGAUUUCCUAAAGCAUUGGAUUGUAAAAUUAUGUCUUUUAGAUAGCUGGUGAGCUCUGGGCCACUAGAGUCAGUUUUGUAGCUGUUAUUUAUAGCCUGAGGCUCAAGCUUAGCUAAAUUGACUAGUUAUAGCUAUAUAACUAACCCGUACCCAUAAAUGUCUGUAGGCAGUAUGUCUGCAUGUAAUAAAUGACAUAUUUUGCCCAAGUCCUUUAAACUUCAGAUUUUGCUUAAUAGAUAUGUUGGAAUUAUGAGUAGAUACUCAUUUAGUCCCUUGAAACAUAAAAAUUAAGGUUUUUUUUGGCGGGGGUGCUCUUUUAGGACGAAAUGUCUUUGAGAAGUCAUUAGACAAUCCAAAUAUGGUGGAGAAUAAUAAAAGUAAAAUUUCCUUUUAUAUGACUUUACUACAUCUUGACCAUUUUUUUUGUUUCCUAAAUAUGUAAAUCCAACUUAGUGAAUGCUUUUUAUUUUGGGGGGAGAACUAUUAUGUAAUCAGAUAUAGUGGAUUUUAUCUAAGAGGUUUUCUCAACCUUCUUUUCUUUUUUUUUUUUUUAAUCUUUUUGUCUUUUUUGUUGUUGUUGUUGUUGUUGCUAUUUCUUGGGCCGCUCCCGCGGCAUAUGGAGGUUCCCAGGCUAGGGGUUGAAUCGGAGCUGUAGCCACCGGCCUACGCCAGAGCCACAGCAACUCGGGAUCCGAGCCGCGUCUGCAACCUACACCACAGCUCACGGCAACGCCGGAUCCUCAACCCACUGAGCAAGGGCGGGGAUCGAACCCGCAACCUCAUGGUUCCUAGUCGGAUUCGUUAACCACUGCGCCACGACGGGAACUCCUCAACCUUCUUUUCUUCAUUUACUAAAAUGCCUACCUCAUAGUGUUGUAAAGUUCAAGCGAGAUUAGAGUUCUCUGAUUGUGUUAGAUGGUGAUAUUAUUAGAACUGCCUGUGUAGCUCCUUUUAAUAGCUUAUCUUUUUUCCUUACCUGGCCUUUUAUUGCUUUAUUUUAAAUACAAUUUUAGGCCAUUACACAAUUACAUAAGGAUGCAUAUUUUUGAAAAGUAUUUGAAAUGCAGGAGUUGAAUAAAAAGUAAAAAUAUCCUCCUCCUGACUUCUUCUGAUCCUGCCCUUUGCACUGAGGUGCUCCAAGUUAGAAAUGUUCCAAGUUAGCACACAUCAUUUCUCUGAAUUUACAUUGUUGUAUUUUGUAGUUUUAUAAGACCUCUUGGCAUUGGGGGUAAUAAUGUCAGUUUAGAAAUCCCAGGCUGCUAACCUUGGAAUGAAAAGAGAUCCUUCCCUUACAACAGUAAAGGCUUAUACAUCUUGUCCAAGUUUAGCAUGCUUUAAAUGUUCGUCUGGGUUUAAGAAAUGGGUUCAGGAGAAGUCAUCCUUUAUAAAAACCCUUUAUCAUCUUACCUGCUCAAAAAUACCCUUCCUCUUAUGUAACUUUCACUCAUCUGAUGUUAUUAGAUACAUUAAGAAUAUGAAUGUGACUUCAAUAUCUGAAUGAUGUUUAUUUUCAUCAUAAUGUUCAUUUGGAGAGUUACUACUACAGGGUACUUGCCUUUAUGUGGAAAAAAUAGCGUGGAAAAAUUGUGAGAACUGGGAAACUGGAGUGCCAGGACAGUCAAAGUAGCACCCAAACCAGAGUCAGGUUCCUCGAAAUAAGGUGAUCACUUGGGGUGUGAGUACCCCAAGGAAGGAAAUCUCUCCAAAAGUGAAUUGUUUCCUAAAUGCAUAGGAACUCUUGUGGCUGUUGUGCGUACCAGAAGACCACAUAUGUGGACUGUAAAACUAUACUGCUGUUGUUUCUCAUUAAACAUAAGGAUGUUCAUAUGACCCAGCAGUUCUCCUUUUGGGUAUAGUCUCAAAAGGAUUGAAAACAAGGACUCAAACAAAAAUCAAGUCAGUGUUCCAAAAAGCGGAAACAGCCAUGUGUCCAUCAGCACAUGAAUAGAUAAACAGGAUAUGGUCAAUACAAACAAUGGAAUAUUAUUCAGCCCUGAAAAGGAAUGAAGUUCUGAUACAUGGUACACCAUGAAUGAACUUGAAAAUGCUAAGAAAAAUGAGCUGGACACAAAAGGACAAAUAUAGUAGAAUUCCAUGUACAUGAAAUAUCUAGAAUAGACAAAUUCAUAGAGACAGAAAGAUUAGAGGUUUCCAGGGUCUGGAGAGGGAGCAGAGAAUAGGUAGUUAUUUCUCAAUGGGUACAGCGUUUCUGUUUGGGGAGAUGAAAAUUUUGCAGUGUUGCACAACAUUGUCAGUAUAAUGAAUAGCACUAUAUUUUACACUCUAAAAUGGUUGAAAAUGGGAGUUCCCGUCACGCCUCAGUAGUUAAUGAAUCUGACUAGGAGCCAUGAGGUUUCGGGUUCGAUCCCUGGCCUUGCUCAGUGGGUUAAGGAUCUGGCAUUGCCGUGAGCUGUUGUAUAGGUUGCAGACGCAGCUUGGAUCCCAUGUUGCUGUGGCUCUGGCGUAGGUCCAAUUAGACCCCUAGCCUGGGAACCUCCAUAUGCCGUGGGAGGCGGCCCUGGAAAAGGCAAAAAGACAAAAAAAAAAAG